rnacentral:rRNA from 1 species
GUAGGGAAUAUUGCGCAAUGGGGGAAACCCUGACGCAGCGACGCCGCGUGAGUGAUGAAGGCCUUCGGGUCGUAAAGCUCUGUUGCAGGGGAAUAAAAAAAUGAAGGUACCCUGUGAGGAAGGAUCGGCUAACUUCGUGCCAGCAGCCGCGGUAAGACGAGGGAUCCUAGCGUUGCUCGGAAUCAUUGGGCGUAAAGAGGGCGUAGGUGGCUUGGUAAGUCAGGUGUGGAAGCCCAGGGCUCAACCCUGGAAGUACAUUUGAUACUGCUGAGCUUGAGUGUCGGAGAGGUUACCGGAAUACCUGGUGUAGUGGUGAAAUACGUAGAUAUCAGGUGGAACACCGGAGGCGAAGGCGGGUAACUGGACGAACACUGACACUGAGGCCCGAAAGCGUGGGGAUCAAACAGGAUUAGAAACCCGGGUAGUCC